GAGGUGAUAGAGGAUUUGAAGGGUUUGGCGGAGGAAGGUGGUGAAAAGGAUGUGGGUCGUGUGGUGGGGCGGCUCGACGAAGAAGAAGCUUCUUCUCGAUUUCUUUUCUUUUUUUGUUUUUCUUUUCUUUUCCAGAGUGUGUAGUAGAGAGAGAGUAUGAGAGAGUUAGGUGUGAGGUGAGGGUAGGUAGUGUAUAGAGG
rnacentral:lncRNA from 1 species